AAGCGUCCCCGACAGCCGCCAUCCCCCUUCCUUCCUCCUCCUCCACGCUUCUCCCCCUACCCCGUCUAUUCCCCUCUCGCUAUCGCCCUCGCUCUUUCUCCUUCUCAUGCACCACCCCCCACAAAGCCUUCCUGACAGCCCCCUCACUCUCUCUCCUCCUCCUUGUCUUCCUUCCCCAUGCUUCUCACCCUGAACAGCCCUCUGCUGCAAUCAGACCGCGGCUGAAAUCCUCACCCCCUUCUCUGCUUCUCCUCAACAAAUCUGCCGAGCUCGCUUUUCUCCAAUAUUUCUCUCUCUCCCCGACAGCCUCAUAUGAUCUCACUUGAAUUUAAUAGUAACUUUAUGUAGUAGUAAUAGUUUUUUUUUUGUUAAUAAUAGUUUUCUCCAAUAUUUCUCUCUCUCCCCGACAGCCUCAUAUGAUCUCACUUCGAUAAGGCGUCGCUUGGGCACUCGCCCGAGCCUAGGCGUCGGGCGAGUGCGCGGUUGAUAUAAGGUAACCGGGUUCGGUUAAGUGUGCAUUAAUUGGUUUGAUUGAACCAACUAACGCACAUAGUUACCUCAAAACCUGCUCGCGACCCUGACUCCUAACCCUAGCAUGCGCUUUCUCCCUCCACCUUUGUCGUCGACGAUUUCUCCCUCUGCGUCCGCCACCCACGAUUUCUCUCUCUGCCUCCAUCACCGAUGAUUUCUCUUGCUGCCUCUGAGUCUUCAUCUGUCGCAGACUGAGUCUGCUUAGCUUCCACUACUGUCCGCUGUCUGUCGUUAUUGUCCGCUACCGUCGCUGCCAUCCGCUGCCACGGCUGUUGUCCAUUGUUUCUCUUCUGAGUUCUGACUUCUCACUAUCGGUUUCACUAGACCCUUAAGGAAACCUCAAGAUCUGUGGAAAAAAUGGAGACAAUGGUGAGGAAGCUUCAACAGAAGUACAAAAAGGCAAGGGAGGAUAUGGAAAAGUGGGAUGAGCUCCAAUCCCGAUUGCUCUCACUCUUCAAGAGUGCCACAUCCAUCAUCAAUAGACUGCAGGUGCUUGCAGAGGCUAAAAAUUAUGGUGUGUUGAGGAGCAUAUCUGGCAUUAGAGAAGCACUUUUGGGGAAGCAAAUGGAAACCCUGGAAAUGAUCUUUCGUUCCAUGAGAGAGACAAUGAAAGAGUUUCGUGGCAUUGUCUUGUCUCUUGAGAAGAUUGCAAGGGAUGCAUGGCAACUGGUGAAAGGAGGAUCAGCCCAAACUUCUAAGCAGAUGAAAGUGCAGAUUGGACUCUGGCCAAAUAUUACAUAUUGCUUAGGUGGGCUUAGGUCAAUUUAUGAGAUGCACCAAUCUGAGUAUAUUCUUAAAUUAUCAGUGGUAUCCUCCUUGACAUGGAAGUGUAGAUAUGGAUGAUUACCAUGCUCAGCAUAUUAGCAAUUUGAACUGCAUUCAUUAUGGAGAUCAAACCAGUGUGAAAUUGAAAUGGUGGAAGGAGCAACGAUCAUAUAGGGGUUAGAACUCCCAUGAUCAUGAAGUACCUGGCAUGCUUGUUUUAUUUGAAAGUCCCACUGAUGCUGCUGCAUUUGGUCAGCUUUUGGUGGAUCAGCCCAAUAUCCCAAAAGAUGAAGUGCAAGCUAUCUAUGACAUAAUAUUUGCAGAGGAGAUCUGCUGAUUCCUCCUGUUUUCUGCCAUCCCUGCACAUUUUUAUCGCCAGGCAGCUAUGAUUGCAUUUGGAGAUGGACUAAAUGCGUGCUUAUGCUCAAACUGUGAGGGCGAAACUGACUGCAAUGUUCUUCUGUUCUGUGUUGAUGCUUUGAAUUUGAGACGUCUUUACAUAUAUAUCAUGUUAUAUAGCAGGAAGAAUGUCCUCGAAAUCUCAAACUCGUUUGUGUCAAAAAAACUGCAUCAAGUUACACUCGUCUUUUUCAAGUUUAUUUGAUUGAUGAAACCUAAUUCUUAGA